GAACCUGCGGAAGGAUCAUUAUUU
rnacentral:rRNA from 1 species